UAACGAAUCUUCCGCAAUGCACGAAAGUGUGACGGAGCGACGCCGCGUGUGGGACGAAGCCCUUCGGGGUGUAAACCACUGUCAGGGGUAAGAAAGUUCUGAUCUACCCCAGAGGAAGGCACGGCUAACUCUGUGCCAGCAGCCGCGGUAAGACAGAGGUGCCGAGCGUUAGGCGGAAUCACUGGGCUUAAAGCGUGUGUAGGCGGACUUCUAAGUGCCUCGUGAAAUCCCACGGCUCAACCGUGGAACGGCCUGGCAUACUGGGAGUCUUGAGCCACCUAGGGGCGAGCGGAACAAACGGUGGAGCGGUGAAAUGCGUAGAUAUCGUUUGGAACGCCAACGGUGAAAACAGCUCGCUGGGGAUGUGCUGACGCUGAGACACGAAAGCCAGGGGAGCAAACGGGAUUAGAUACCCCCGUAGUCC
rnacentral:rRNA from 1 species